GAUGAAGAACGUAGCGAAAUGCGAUAAGUAAUGUGAAUUGCAGAAUUCAGUGAAUCAUCGAAUCUUUGAACGCACCUUGCACCCUUUGGACUGCUCCAAAGGGUAUGCUCGUUUGAGUGUCAUUGUACUCUCACACUCUCUGAUCCUUUGGAUUUGGGGAGCAGUGGACUUGGGUGCUUGCUGCUUCCUUGUGGCUCACCUGAAAUGCAUCAGUGCAUCUCUCGAUUGGACAUAGUACGGCGUGAUAAGUGUCUUCGCCGGCACCUCAUAUGAGGGUGGCCGAUCGGGAGCUCUGUGCUUUCAAACCGUCUUCGGACAACGCUGACAACUUGACCUCAAAUCGAGUAGGACCACCCGCUGAACUUAAGCAUAUCAAUAAGCGGAGGA
rnacentral:misc_RNA from 1 species